UAUUCUGGUGUCCUAGGCGUAGAGGAACCACACCAACCCAUCCCGAACUUGGUGGUUAAACCCUACUGCGGUGACGAUACUGUAGGAGAGGUCCUGCGGAAAAAUAGCUCGACGCCGGGAUGAUAAAAAGC
rnacentral:rRNA from 6 species